UACAGAGGUCUCGAGCGUUGUUCGGAUUCAUUGGGCGUAAAGGGCGCGUAGGCGGCGGGGUAAGUCUGGUGUGAAAUCUCGGAGCUCAACUCCGAAAUUGCACUGGAUACUGCUCUGCUAGAGGGCUGGAGAGGAGAUCGGAAUUCACGGUGUAGCAGUGAAAUGCGUAGAUAUCGUGAGGAAGACCAGUGGCGAAGGCGGAUCUCUGGACAGAAACUGACGCUGAGGCGCGAAAGCUAGGGGAGCAAACAGG
rnacentral:rRNA from 1 species